CUAUCCUACGGGGCGCAGCAGUGGGGAAUAUUGCACAAUGGGGGAAACCCUGAUGCAGCGACGCCGCGUGAGUGAGGAAGUAUUUCGGUAUGUAAAGCUCUAUCAGCAGGGAAGAAAAUGACGGUACCUGACUAAGAAGCCCCGGCUAACUACGUGCCAGCAGCCGCGGUAAUACGGAGGAUGCGAGCGUUAUCCGGAUUUAUUGGGUUUAAAGGGUGCGCAGGCGGAAUGUCAAGUCAGCGGUAAAAUUUCGGGGCUCAACCCCGUCGUGCCGUUGAAACUGGCGUUCUUGAGUGAGCGAGAAG
rnacentral:rRNA from 1 species